AGUGAACGCUGGCGGUAGGCCUAACACAUGCCAGUCGAACGGCAGCACAGUAAGAGCUUGCUCUUCCGGGUGGCGAGUGGCGUACGGGUGAGGAAUACAUGGGAAUCUAAUUUUUCGUGGGGGAUAAGGUAGGGAAACUUAAGCUAAUAUAGCAUCCGACAUUAUGGUGAAAGGCAGGGUAAUUCAGUCAUUGCGGGAAUGAAUGCGCCAAUAUCGGAUUCGCUAGUGGGGGGGGUAAAGGCCCACCAAGGGGACGAUCCUUACCAGGUCUGAGAGGAUGAUCAGCCACACGGGAACUGGGACACGGCCCAGACUCCUACGGGAGGCAGCAGUGGGGAAUUUUGGACAAUGGGCGAAAGCCGGAUCCAGCCAGACCGGGUGGUGGAAGAAGGCCUUCGGGUGUUAAAGCCCGUUUGUUGGGAAAGAAAAGCAGCAGGGUAAUACCCCGCUGUUCUGACGGUACCCAAAGAAUAAGCACCGGCUAACUUCGUG
rnacentral:rRNA from 1 species